rnacentral:sRNA from 1 species
UCUGCUUUGGAAUUCCACUGUUCAGUUCUGAAUUAAACCGGAAAGUUUGUAGGAAAAUUGCUACACAUGGCCUUUGCAGAAAAGAGAGCCUUCAAAACCUCUUACAUUCCAGUAGAAAACUCUCUCUGCAAGUCCUUAACUUUGUUCACUCAUUCCAGGUAACAAAAACCAAAAAGUGGAAAUGGUACUUGUGCAGAACUUGAAGUAUGCGUAACACUUCUAUGUUUGCUUUUGAGUCACCACAGCGGCAAGAUAGGAAAUAAACAUUAAUUUUAUUGUACAAGUGAAGACAUUGAGAUUCAAGAAGUUAAUGGACUUGCACAUUUCACUGGCCAGGUCUUUGGAGACCAAAGCUUGAUCUCUUUGCUCUGUGCCAGUGCUUUAUUCAACAGAAAUGUGUUAAGUGUCUUUUAUGGGCUGUGAGCCGUGCUAGGUGUCAGUUUUUGGUUAUAGUGCACUUCCCAAUAACUAAAGCAAUUCUCCACUGCCGGGGUAGGCUGUCUGUUGUGGCAGUGAAGGCCAGUGCUCUGGACUUUUUGUCUUUCCCCCAUCCCCAAGGAAAGAAAGAAUAUUCUAGACUUGAUUUAUAGGUAAACUUUUAAAAUAGAGUAUUUCUGUUCAGAAUAUCUAAUUCAACGUUAUGAAAUCAAUAUUUUGGAGUUUUACUUCAUUCAUUCAGUUGGUAAAUGCUUGACCCUGACCUAUGCCAGAUUCUUUGCUGAGUGCUGUGGAAACAGUGAUGUGUAAGAUACUAAUGCAACUUAGAGAAUGUUGUGGGAGACAAUAAUCAGAUAAAUAUUAAGAUAUAUAAGUUCUAAAAGAUUUUAAUAAGUACUUUGAAGGAGCCAACUGUGAUGAAAUCUGCAGGUAGACCUAAUUUCAAUAGGUGCAGGAUAAUAUGUAAGCUGAAGCCAAAAAGUUGGAAGAGAAUAUUCCGGCAGAGCUUAGGUCUCUACUUCCUGUGUCUGGGAAAUGUCCAGUGAACAAAGAAACAAAUGAAGCCCAGUGUGGCAGAAACCUCAUGAAAGAGGGGUAGAAGCAAGAGGUGAGGUUGAAGAAGAGGGCCGGAGCAUGGUGUGCAGGGCCUUCUGGCGUGUGUUAGAGAACUAGUAUUUUACGCUGAGUGCAAAGAGAAAUGAUUAAAGACUUUUAAAUGGGAGAGAUGUUAUUUCUGAUGGACUAUUUUAUAAAAAUAGGCAAAAAUGGAAAUUUUAUAAGGAUGUAAUAAAUGGAAAAAUUUCAAAAUUCUGUCAGUACUGGGC